ACGGAGGGUGCAAGCGUUAUUCGGAAUUACUGGGCGUAAAGGGCGUGCAGGCGGGAGAGCAAGUCUGAUGUGAAAGCCCGGGGCUUAACCCCGGAAGGGCAUUGGAAACUGCUUUUCUUGAGUUCUGGAGAGGAAGGGAGAAUUCCCGGUGUACAGCGGUAAGGAGAGCAGAUGGGGUGGAAACGAAGUAGCGAGGGCGGCAAUGAGGACAGGAAUUGUCGCUGAGACUCGCACGUGCGUAGAGGAGAGAU
rnacentral:rRNA from 1 species